GUCCCCUUCGUCUAGUGGCCCAGGACACCGCCCUUUCACGGCGGUAACAGGGGUUCGACUCCCUAGGGGACGCCA
rnacentral:tRNA from 1 species